ACAUUUGGCUUCCGAUCCCCGGCCAACACUACCAGCUCUGUUGCCUUCCCCCCACCCCCCCCCCCCCCCCCCCCCCCCCUCCCCAGGAUCUGCAGUUUGCAUAGCGCUCUAUGCAGUUCCAAUGUUGACAUUUAAAAGGGUGAUAAAGGAGGCUAGCGUAGGCGAGUUCUCAUGCGUCCCGUAUAUACUGGCUCUGUUCAGCACACUCACCUAUAGCUGGUAUGGCUUCCCACUUCCCAGUCGUGAGUUGUGGAAGGGAAAAUCUGACAACCUCUGGCACCUGCUUAUCAUCUGCGCAAGGCAUUUGGUGGAAGCAUUGGUAUAGUGACAGCCAUAUCGAUGUACAGCUCUCCGCUUGUAGCUGUGAAACAGGUUAUCAAGACAAAAGGCUAGCGUGGAGUUCAUGCCUUUCUACCUGUCCUUGUUCUCCUUCUUAGCCAGCUUAAUCUGGAUGGUUUAUGGGAUCCUAUAUCACGGUCAGUAUGCAACCUAGCAUUACAAAAGUGCAUUUAAAAGAGACUCUAUUAUUCGCCACCAAAAUCAAGCUAUUGCUCAAGUCCGGUUUUAUUAGUUAGCAUACUCUAAAGCUGAAUAUCUUUUUUUUUUCUAAAUCUAUUGGUAUACUUAAAGUUAAUUGGACUGUUGGUAGAGUCUUAUUGCUUGUAAUUGCAACUGUUAUUCAUCUAACUUAUUGUUUUAUGCUUUACUCUAUG